AUGGCAGACGAUAUUAAUAUUGAAGCAAUGCUUGAGGCUCCUUACAAGAAGGAUGAGAACAAGUUGAGCAGGGCCAAUGGCCAUGAAGAACGUAGCAAAAAGAGGAAAAAAAGCAAGAGCAGAAGUCGUAGUCGUGAACGAAAGAGAAACGAAAGGAACGGAAGCGAAGUACAGAUCGAGAAAGGAAAAAGAGCAAAAGCCGUGAAAGGAAGCGAAGUCAAAGCAGAGAGGCGACUGAGCCGCUCAAGAAGUCAAGAUCAAACAUUUAGAGGCCGCUACAGAAGUCCUUACUCUGGACCAAAAUUUAACAGUGCCAUCUGAGGAAAGACUGGAUUGCCUCAUAGUAUCAAAUUAAGCAUAGGACGUUCCCGAAGAAAAGUCCACUCAGAAAAGACAAGAACCCUGUGAUGGAACCUACUGAUAAUCUAACUCCUGAGGAAAGAGAUGGAAGGACAGUCUUCUGUAUGCAGCUGGCGGCAGGAAUUCGACCAAAGGAUUUGGAAGAGUUUUUCUCUACAGUAGGAAAGGCUCGAGACGUGAGGAAGAUUUCUGAUAGAAAUUUAAGACGUUCCAAAGGAAUUGCUUACGUGGAGUUCGUCGGUGUUAGUUCAGUGCCUCUAGCAAUAGGAUUAACUGGCCAACGAGUUUUAGGAGCGCCAAUCACAGUACGGGCAUCACAGGCAGAAAGAAAAAAACCGAGCUGCAGCCAUGGCAAACAAUGUACAAAAGGGAAGUGCUGGACCUAAGAGGCUUUAUGUGGACUCAUUACAAUUUUAACAUAACUGAAGAUACACUUCGUGGGAUCUUUGAGCCUUUCGGAAGGAUUAAAAGUAUCCAGCUGAUGAUAGACAGUGAAACUGGUCGAUCCAAGGGAUAUGGAUUUAUUACAUUUUCUGAUUCAGAAUGUGCCAAAAAGGCUUUGGAACAAUUUAAUGGAUUUGAACUAGCAGGGAGGCCAAUGAAAGUUGGUCAUGUUACUGAACCAUGCUGAUGCUUCGAGUACUAGUUCAUUUUUGGACAGUGAUGAACUGGAAAGGACUAGAAUUGAUUUGAGAACAACUGGUCGUCUUCAGUUAGUGGCAAGACUUGCAGAGGAUACAGAAUUUUCUUUUGUUAUGGAUUUGCAAACAAGACUUUCCCAGCAGACUGAAGCUUCAGCUUUAGCUGCAGCUGCUUCUGUUCAGCCACUUGCAACACAGUGUUUCCAACUCUCUAACAUGUUUAACCCUCAAACAGAAGAAGUUGGAUGGGAUACAGAGAUUAAGGGCGAUGUGAUUGAAGAAUGUAAUAAACAUGGAGGAGUUAUUCAUAUUUAUAAUGACAAAAAUUCAGCUCAGGGCAAUGUGUAUGUGAAGUGCCCAUCAAUUGCUGCAGCUAUGGCUGCUGUCAAUGCAUUGCAUGGCAGGUGGUUUGCUGGUAAAAUGAUAACAGCAGCAUAUGUACCUCUUCCAACUUACCACAACCUGUUUUCCGAUUCUAUGACAGCAACACAACUACUGGUUCCAAGUAGACGAUGAAGGAAGAUAUAGUCCCUUAUGUAUAUAGCUUUUCUUCUUUCUUGAGAAUUCAUCUUGAGUUAUCUUUUAUUUAGAUAAAAAUAAAGAGGCAAGGAUCUACUGUCAUUUGUAUACAAUUCCCGUUACCUUGAAAAAAUAAAAAUGUUAACUGGAA